CCUUCUAUUCUUUUUCUUUUAUUUUACUUUUCCCUUUCUCUACCAUAAACAAUACAUAUUGCACAAUCAUGAUAGUGUUGGUUUUGUCACUUUUUAGAUUGUGUCCCAUAUUUCCAUUUAACAAAUCUUGUAUUUGGUGCUGAUUGUGGGACCCAAAAGUAGGUAAAGCUAAGCAGAGUGAUUGAUUGAGACCAUAACCAUAAUAAUAAUGCCCACUUUGCCAAGAAACUUGAUAGUGGUGACAAGAUAAACACAUGUGUGCCACUAUAAUUCUUUAUAUGAUGAAUAAAGAAGCAGUGAGCAACUUUGCUUUGGGUGGAACACCUUUCAAGAGAGUCUUUAACACUAAAGGUUUUAGUUGGACAGGUUUGGCUGUUUGAGUCUUUGAGAGAAUGAAUUUAGGUUCUCUGGAAAUUCUAAUUGCUGAAUUGAAUAGGUGAUGCGGAUGCCAGAGGCUUCUUACUUCAAGUUUGUUUGGUUGUGCUGUGAUGUGCCUCCUAAGUCUUCAUAUUGUUGUUGUUGAGGUCAUAUUGUUGUUGUUGAGGGCACUUUUCCAGCUGAUGUAGUAACAUGGUUACAUCUUAAUUAGUAGCUGUAUAACCAUCUAGAUGUGAUUACACUGAGCUUCAACAAGGAAGCACAAUGCAAGAUGGUGUUAAUUCCCACUACUCAGGCAUCAUAGUAGAGCUGAAAUUGAUGGAAAGUUAUUGUAAGAAUAGUGUAUCUAAGCAAGAAUUGCAGCUAUUAUACAGUGGGAGUCUGGGAGACAAUAAUCUACAUGCAGUUUCUGUUUGGUAUGUGAGGGCACCUGCUCAAACAGUAGUACAUGAUUGACUUAUUCCCCAUAAGCAAUGUUUCAGCUUCGAAUUAUGUGUAUAAAAUAAUUUCUAUUGAGAGAGCUAGCCUACCAGAACGUGGAUAUUCUCGGUCUGAAAAAGUCUCUGAUCUCCUUCGUUGUUCUUUGUUGAGCUGAAAUAAUAAAGCUUCCAAUGUGUAACAAGUUUCACAAGAGGAUUGCUCAAAUUUAGUUAUU